GAUGAACGCUGGCGGCGUGCCUAAUACAUGCAAGUCGAGCGAACAGACGAGGAGCUUGCUCCUCUGACGUUAGCGGCGGACGGGUGAGUAACACGUGGAUAACCUACCUCUAAGACUGGGAUAACUUCGGGAAACCGGAUCUAAUACCGGAUAAUAUAUUGAACCGCAUGGUUCAAUAGUGAAAGACGGUUUUGCUGUCACUUAUAGAUGGAUCCGCGCCGCAUUAGCUAGUUGGUAAGGUAACGGCUUACCAAGGCGACGAUGCGUAGCCGACCUGGGAGGGUGAUCGGCCACACUGGAACUGGGACACGGUCCAGACUCCUACGGGAGGCAGCAGUAGGGAAUCUUCCGCAAUGGGCGAAAGCCUGACGGAGCAACGCCGCGUGAGUGAUGACGGUCUUCGGAUCGUAAAGCUCUGUUAUUAGGGAAGAACAAAUGUGUAAGUAACUAUGCACGUCUUGACGGUACCUACUCAGAAAGCCACGGCUAACUACGUG
rnacentral:rRNA from 1 species